rnacentral:rRNA from 1 species
AUCGAACGCUGGCGGCAGGCUUAACACAUGCAAGUCGAGCGGAGUGAUGGUGCUUGCACUAUCACUUAGCGGCGGACGGGUGCGUAAUGCUUAGGAAUCUGCCAUUUAGUGGGGGACAACAUUCCGAAAGGAAUGCUAAUACCGCAUACGUCCUACGGGAGAAAGCAGGGGAUCUUCGGACCUUGCGCUAAAUGAUGAGCCUAAGUCGGAUUAGCUAGUUGGUGGGGUAAAGGCCUACCAAGGCGACGAUCUGUAGCGGGUCUGAGAGGAUGAUCCGCCACACUGGGACUGAGACACGGCCCAGACUCCCACGGGAGGCAGCAGUGGGGAAUAUUGGACAAUGGGCGGAAGCCUGAUCCAGCCAUGCCGCGUGUGUGAAGAAGGCCUUUUGGUUGUAAAGCACUUUAAGCGAGGAGGGGGCUACUAGGACUAAUACUACUGGAUAGUGGACGUUACUCGCAGAAUAAGCACCGGCUAACUCUGUGCCAGCCGCCGCCGUAACAC